UUCGCCCUUAGAGUUUGAUCCUGGCUCAGGACGAACGCUGGCGGCGCGCCUAACACAUGCAAGUCGAACGAGCGAGAGAGAGCUUGCUUUCUCAAGCGAGUGGCGAACGGGUGAGUAACGCGUGAGGAACCUGCCUCAAAGAGGGGGACAACAGUUGGAAACGACUGCUAAUACCGCAUAAGCCCACGACCCGGCAUCGGGUAGAGGGAAAAGGAGCAAUCCGCUUUGAGAUGGCCUCGCGUCCGAUUAGCUAGUUGGUGAGGUAACGGCCCACCAAGGCGACGAUCGGUAGCCGGACUGAGAGGUUGAACGGCCACAUUGGGACUGAGACACGGCCCAGACUCCUACGGGAGGCAGCAGUGGGGAAUAUUGCACAAUGGGGGAAACCCUGAUGUAGCGACGCCGCGUGGAGGAAGAAGGUCUUCGGAUUGUAAACACCUGUUGUUGAGGAAGAUAAUGACGGUACUCAACAAGGAAGUGACGGCUAACUACGUGCCAGCAGCCGCGGUAAAACGUAGGUCACAAGCGUUGUCCGGAAUUACUGGGUGUAAAGGGAGCGCAGGCGGGAAGACAAGUUGGAAGUGAAAUCCAUGGGCUCAACCCAUGAACUGCUUUCAAAACUGUUUUUCUUGAGUAGUGCAGAGGUAGGCGGAAUUCCCGGUGUAGCGGUGGAAUGCGUAGAUAUCGGGAGGAACACCAGUGGCGAAGGCGGCCUACUGGGGCACCAACUGACGCUGAGGCUCGAAAGUGUGGGUAGCAAACAGGAUUAGAUACCCUGGUAGUCCACACUGUAAACGAUGAUUACUAGGUGUUGGAGGAUUGACCCCUUCAGUGCCGCAGUUAACACAAUAAGUAAUCCACCUGGGGAGUACGACCGCAAGGUUGAAACUCAAAGGAAUUGACGGGGGCCCGCACAAGCAGUGGAGUAUGUGGUUUAAUUCGACGCAACGCGAAGAACCUUACCAAGUCUUGACAUCCUGCGACGGUGCUGGAAACAGUACUUUCCUUCGGGACGCAGAGACAGGUGGUGCAUGGUUGUCGUCAGCUCGUGUCGUGAGAUGUUGGGUUAAGUCCCGCAACGAGCGCAACCCUUAUGGUCAGUUACUACGCAAGAGGACUCUGGCCAGACUGCCGUUGACAAAACGGAGGAAGGUGGGGAUGACGUCAAAUCAUCAUGCCCUUUAUGACUUGGGCUACACACGUACUACAAUGGCGUUAAACAAAGAGAAGCAAGACCGCGAGGUGGAGCAAAACUCAGAAACAACGUCCCAGUUCGGACUGCAGGCUGCAACUCGCCUGCACGAAGUCGGAAUUGCUAGUAAUCGCAGAUCAGCAUGCUGCGGUGAAUACGUUCCCGGGCCUUGCACUCACCGCCCGUCA
rnacentral:rRNA from 1 species